CUUGGGAACAGGGACGAUGGUGGAGGACUUGAAGCAGGCUGGCACAUGACAUGUCUCCAGUGAGGUGUUAAAAAUGUCUGUGAAGACUGGAGACAGCUGAUCAGCGCACUUACAAUUUUAACAGACAUACUUCUACAAUUCAUCCUCUAAUGACUGUUUUAGUUUCUUUUCUUAGUUUUUUUAUGUGACAGAGCACAAGUCAUGAGGGGGAAACAGGUGUUAUGUUAAAGAAGAUUCCUGAUCACAUAGGAACCACACAGCAGAUAACCCUGAACACAUAAUCUCAAUGGUAAAACAUGUACUGUAAGUGGCUGCAUCAUGCUGUGGGAAUGCUUUCCUUCACCAAGGAAACUGAACCUGGGAAGAUGGAUGGGGCUGAAUAAAGAGCAAUCCUGAAAGAGAACCUCUAGGACUCUGCAGAAGCCUUGAGACUGGGGUGGAGGUUCACCUACCAGCAGGACAACAACCCAAAAUAUAAAGCAUGAGCUACAACAGAGAAGUACCAUGGGUGCGACAGGGUUUGAGCUCGAUCCCCUCCACGAUGUUGACCAUCAGUCUGCCGAUCCCCGUCGCCCUCUGAGAACGGACUGCAAUGAGGAGCAGAGAAAUCAGCUUCUGGUGUUUAAUAAAAUCAUGAAAUUCAUCACAAAUGA